rnacentral:lncRNA from 1 species
AACCCGCUCCGGUCUCCUUCCAUGGUGUGGAAGGUUUGUUUUUUCGCUCUUUGCAAUAAAUCCUGUUAUUGCUUACUCUGGGUGCACACUGUUUUUAUGAGCUGUAACACUCACUGUAAAGAUCUGCAGCUUCACUCCUGAGCCCAGUGAGACCACGAGGCUACCAGGAGGAGCAAACAACUCCAGACGCGCUGCCUUAAGAGCUGUAACAGUCACCGCGAGAGUCUGCAGCUUCACUCCUGAGCCAGCGAGACCACGAACCCACCAGAAGGAUAAAACUUCGAACACAUCUGAGCAUCAGAAGGGACAGACUCCAGACGCGCCACCUUAAGAGCUGUAACACUCACCGCGAGGGUCUGCGGCUUCAUUCUUGAAGUCAGUGAGACCAAGAACCCACCAAUUCCGGACACAUCAAGAGGCUGAGGCAGGAGAAUCGCUUGAACCCAGGAGGCAGAGGUUGCAGUGAGCCAAGACUGCGCCAUUGCACUCCAGCCUGGGCAACAGAACGAGACUCUGUCUCAAAAACAACAACAAAAAACAAGUUCUGUUAUUUGCUUUCUCUGCCCUACCUGUCCUUUCAUCCCCAUUGCCAUCACCCUAGCCUGUCACUAAUCCCUUUGCUGUUGCAACAACUGCGAUACCUGUGUCUCCUCCUCCUCCACUUCAACCCACACCUCACACCACAUCUGUGUUGAUUGUCUAACCCAUUGUCCACAUCUGUGUUCAUCGUCCAACACCCACCCUACUUUGUGUGCGAAGCUCCCCAUUGCCUACACGGAUAAAAGGUUCAAGGCCCCAAACUUCCUCUCAGUCAACCCGUAUUAGCUGAUGACCUACUGUAUGCAAAGCACUCCUCCGAAAUCUGCUUCAGCCUAAGGGGUGUGAUCACAAUGGCCACCAAUUGUCCUUGAGGGUUGCAGCAGGCUCUUUAC